rnacentral:rRNA from 2 species
AGGUUAAGUUAACAAGGGCGCAUGGUGAAUGCCUUGGCACUAGGAGCCGAUGAAGGACGGGACUAACACCGAUAUGCUUCGGGGAGCUGUACGUAAGCUAUGAUCCGGAGAUUUCCGAAUGGGGCAACCCAGCAGUUUUAAUUAACUGUUACCACUAGAUGAAUUCAUAGUCUAGUUGGAGGUAAACGCUGUGAACUGAAACAUCUCAUUAGCAGCAGGAAUAUAAAGAAAUUUCGAUUCCCUAAGUAGCGGCGAGCGAACGGGGAACAGCCCAAACCAAAGUGCUUGCACUUUGGGGUUGUAGGACUGAACAUUUGAGUUACCAAAGAACUUGAUAGUCGAAGGAUUUGGGAAAAUCCGCCAUAGAUGGUGAUAGCCCAGUAGAUUAAAUCAAAUUCUCUCAGUUCAGGAUCCUGAGUACGGCGGAACACGUGAAAUUCCGUCGGAAUCCGGGAGGACCAUCUCCCAAGGCUAAAUACUACCUAGUGACCGAUAGUGAACCAGUACCGUGAGGGAAAGGUGAAAAGCACCCCGGGAGGGGAGUGAAAUAGUUCCUGAAACCAUGUGCCUACAAUAAGUCAGAGCGCGUUAAUGCGUGAUGGCGUGCCUUUUGUAGAAUGAACCGGCGAGUUAUGAUCCCGUGCAAGGUUAAGACUAAAAAGUUGGAGCCGUAGCGAAAGCGAGUCUGAAAUGGGCGAUUUGAGUACGAGGUUAUAGACCCGAAACCAGGUGACCUAUCCAUGUCCAGGUUGAAGGUGCGGUAAAACGCACUGGAGGACCGAACCCGUGUAAGUUGAAAAUUGCUGGGAUGAGGUGUGGAUAGCGGUGAAAUUCCAAACGAACUUGGAGAUAGCUGGUUCUCUCCGAAAUAGCUUUAGGGCUAGCCUCGGAUUAAGGAUCAUGGAGGUAGAGCACUAUUUGGACUAGGGGCCCGUCUUGGGUUACUGAAUUCAGAUAAACUCCGAAUGCCAUUGAUUCAUGUCCGGGAGUCAGACGAUGAGUGAUAAGAUCCACCGUCGAAAGGGGAACAGCCCAGACCAUCAGUUAAGGUCCCUAAAUGUAUGCUAAGUGGAAAAGGAUGUGGAGUUGCAUAGACAACUAGGAUGUUGGCUCAGAAGCAGCCACCAUUUAAAGAGUGCGUAAUAGCUCACUAGUCGAGUGAUCCUGCGCCGAAAAUGUACCGGGGCUAAGCAUACUACCGAAACCAUGGAUGCGACCAUUAGGUCGCGUGAUAGGAGAGCGUUCUAAGGGCGGUGAAGCAAGAUCGUGAGGACUUGUGGAGCGCUUAGAAGUGAGAAUGCCGGUAUGAGUAGCGAAAGAUAGGUGAGAAUCCUAUCCACCGAAUGACUAAGGUUUCCUGGGGAAGGCUCGUCCUCCCAGGGUUAGUCGGGACCUAAGUCGAGGCCGAGAGGCGUAGACGAUGGAUAACAGGUUGAGAUUCCUGUACUAGUUAAGUGCGUUUGAGCAAUGGAGGGACGCAGGAGGCUAAGAUGUGCAUUCUGUUGGAUUAGAAUGUCCAAGCAGUAAGUCUUGUGGAGAGUCAAAUGCUUUUCACUUUAAGGACAAGCUGUGAUGGGGAGCGAAAUUUAGUAGCGAAGCGUCUGAUGUCACACUGCCGAGAAAAGCUUCUAGUGAGUACUUAACUACCCGUACCGCAAACCGACACAGGUAGUCGAGGAGAGAAUCCUAAGGUGAGCGAGUGAACUCUCGUUAAGGAACUCGGCAAAAUGACCCCGUAACUUCGGGAGAAGGGGUGCUGAUCGCAAGAUCAGCCGCAGUGAAUAGGCCCAGGCGACUGUUUAUCAAAAACACAGGUCUCUGCAAAAUCGUAAGAUGACGUAUAGGGGCUGACGCCUGCCCGGUGCUGGAAGGUUAAAAGGAUGGGUUAGCUUCGGCGAAGCUCAGAAUUGAAGCCCCAGUAAACGGCGGCCGUAACUAUAACGGUCCUAAGGUAGCGAAAUUCCUUGUCGGGUAAGUUCCGACCCGCACGAAAGGCGUAACGAUCUGGGCACUGUCUCAACGAGAGACUCGGUGAAAUUAUAUUGUCCGUGAAGAUGCGGACUACCCGCGACAGGACGGAAAGACCCCAUGGAGCUUUACUGUAGCUUGAUAUUGAGUGUUUGUACAGCUUGUACAGGAUAGGUAGGAGCCAUAGAAACCGGAACGCUAGUUUCGGUGGAGGCGUUGGUGGGAUACUACCCUCGCUGUAUGACCACUCUAACCCGCACCACUAAUCGUGGUGGGAGACAGUGUCAGGUGGGCAGUUUGACUGGGGCGGUCGCCUCCUAAAAAGUAACGGAGGCGCCCAAAGGUUCCCUCAGAAUGGUUGGAAAUCAUUCGCAGAGUGUAAAGGCACAAGGGAGCUUGACUGCGAGACAGACAGGUCGAGCAGGGACGAAAGUCGGGCUUAGUGAUCCGGUGGUACCGUAUGGAAGGGCCAUCGCUCAACGGAUAAAAGCUACCCUGGGGAUAACAGGCUUAUCUCCCCCAAGAGUCCACAUCGACGGGGAGGUUUGGCACCUCGAUGUCGGCUCAUCGCAUCCUGGGGCUGUAGUCGGUCCCAAGGGUUGGGCUGUUCGCCCAUUAAAGCGGUACGCGAGCUGGGUUCAGAACGUCGUGAGACAGUUCGGUCCCUAUCCGUCGCGGGCGUAGGAAAUUUGAGAGGACCUGUCCUUAGUACGAGAGGACCGGGAUGGACAUACCUCUGGUGUACCAGUUGUGCCGCCAGGCGCAUCGCUGGGUAGCUACGUAUGGAUGUGAUAAACGCUGAAAGCAUCUAAGUGUGAAACACACCUCGAGAUGAGAUUUCCCAUUCCUUUAUGGAAGUAAGACCCCUGAAAGAUGAUCAGGUAGAUAGGUUAGAAGUGGCAGUGCGGUGACGCAUGAAGCGGACUAAUACUAAUCGGUCGAGGACUUAACCAAG